AUUAUGACGUUGAAGGAAAAUAGUAGUCAAAAUAGGCAUUUAAGAGACCUUGUGGUUGGUGUAAACAAGGAUGUACUACUGAUGAAUACACUCUGGAGUUUCUAGAUGAAAAGUCUAGACGGGUAAUACCGUUAUCUAUUUUGAAAGUGCAUGUUAUAAACAUGAAUAAAGGUGGUACCGCGAGAUUUCGUCCUUUAA
rnacentral:ncRNA from 1 species